GACGAACGCUGGCGGCGUGCUUAACACAUGCAAGUCGAACGGUAAGGCCCUUUCGGGGGUACACGAGUGGCGAACGGGUGAGUAACACGUGGGUGAUCUGCCCUGCACUUUGGGAUAAGCCUGGGAAACUGGGUCUAAUACCGGAUAGGACUACGCGAUGCAUGUCGUGUGGUGGAAAGCUUUUGCGGUGUGGGAUGGGCCCGCGGCCUAUCAGCUUGUUGGUGGGGUGAUGGCCUACCAAGGCGACGACGGGUAGCCGGCCUGAGAGGGUGUCCGGCCACACUGGGACUGGGAUACGGCCCAGACUCCUACGGGAGGCAGGAGUGGGGAAUAUUGCACAAUGGGCGCAAGCCGGAUGCAGCGACGCCGCGUGGGGGAUGACGGCCUUCGGGUUGUAAACCCCUUUCAGCACAGACGAAGCGUAAGUGACGGUAUGUGCAGAAGAAGCACCGGCCAACUACGU
rnacentral:rRNA from 1 species